CACGUAGGGCGCAAGCGUUGUCCGGAAUUAUUGGGCGUAAAGAGCUCGUAGGUGGUUUGUUACGUCUGCUGUGAAAUCCUAGGGCUUAACCCUGGGCUUGCAGUGGAUACGGGCAGACUAGAGGUAGGUAGGGGAGAAUGGAAUUCCCGGUGUAGCGGUGAAAUGCGCAGAUAUCGGGAGGAACACCGGUGGCGAAGGCGGUUCUCUGGGCCUUACCUGACGCUGAGGAGCGAAAGCGUGGGGAGCGAACAGG
rnacentral:rRNA from 1 species